AUCCUCAUCCAAGAUCGUGGCUUAUUCUGCUCCAUGGUAUGUUCGUGAUCCAGUUCCAACUCAGAUAUAGGAUUCGUAACUUAUUCUGAAGGUUCUUCGCAGGUCCUGAUGUUGCAACCCUUGCCAAAUAUGACGCCCAUCAAGAUGCAUGGCGGAGUAGGUUGCCGCCCCCCUGCAGCCGUCAGAAGAUGAGCCAUCUCCGUUCCCACGGCAAGAUGGUGCCCUGCUGCUAGUCACCAAAUCACCAUGCCGCGGUGUGUCGCAACUCGCAAGGGGACAAAGGUUUGUAGAUCGAGACCUACCAUCACCAAUUCACCAUUGACAGCCAUCUUUACAGAUCUGCUGCCUCAAAUGGGAUCAAAAUUUUGUGCCAUCGAGGAUUACUGAAAAUGAGUGAAGGAUCGACCAAGACAAGAAGACAAAAUACGAUGGAUUCACAUUUUCAUACGUUUUCUGUAAAAUACAUAGGUAGCCUGAGAAUAAUGUAUGCUUAUUUUACUUGUAACCCAUGUAAUUCUUGUUUUAUUCAAUAUAUACAGCCUAACGAGGAAUCAAA